rnacentral:ncRNA from 1 species
UCAGGGCAAACCCGGCAAAAGCCGGGGACGCAAAGCUACCGAUCUAAGGGCUCAUCAGCCUAUGACUGCGGAGCUGCCGG